GCCUCGGUAGCGCAGUUGGCAGCGCGUCAGUCUCAUACAUAUGACAGAGUUAUCUGAAGGUCGUGAGUUCGAUCCUCACCCGGGGCA
rnacentral:tRNA from 1 species